rnacentral:rRNA from 1 species
GGGUUGUGAGGUUAAGCGACUAAGCGUACACGGUGGAUGCCCUGGCAGUCAGAGGCGAUGAAGGACGUGCUAAUCUGCGAUAAGCGUCGGUAAGGUGAUAUGAACCGUUAUAACCGGCGAUUUCCGAAUGGGGAAACCCAGUGUGUUUCGACACACUAUCAUUAACUGAAUCCAUAGGUUAAUGAGGCGAACCGGGGGAACUGAAACAUCUAAGUACCCCGAGGAAAAGAAAUCAACCGAGAUUCCCCCAGUAGCGGCGAGCGAACGGGGAGGAGCCCAGAGCCUGAAUCAGUGUGUGUGUUAGUGGAAGCGUCUGGAAAGGCGCGCGAUACAGGGUGACAGCCCCGUACACAAAAAUACACAUAUUGUGAGCUCGAUGAGUAGGGCGGGACACGUGGUAUCCUGUCUGAAUAUGGGGGGACCAUCCUCCAAGGCUAAAUACUCCUGACUGACCGAUAGUGAACCAGUACCGUGAGGGAAAGGCGAAAAGAACCCCGGCGAGGGGAGUGAAAAAGAACCUGAAACCGUGUACGUACAAGCAGUGGGAGCACGCUUAGGCGUGUGACUGCGUACCUUUUGUAUAAUGGGUCAGCGACUUAUAUUCUGUAGCAAGGUUAACCGAAUAGGGGAGCCGAAGGGAAACCGAGUCUUAACUGGGCGUUAAGUUGCAGGGUAUAGACCCGAAACCCGGUGAUCUAGCCAUGGGCAGGUUGAAGGUUGGGUAACACUAACUGGAGGACCGAACCGACUAAUGUUGAAAAAUUAGCGGAUGACUUGUGGCUGGGGGUGAAAGGCCAAUCAAACCGGGAGAUAGCUGGUUCUCCCCGAAAGCUAUUUAGGUAGCGCCUCGUGAAUUCAUCUCCGGGGGUAGAGCACUGUUUCGGCAAGGGGGUCAUCCCGACUUACCGACCCGAUGCAAACUGCGAAUACCGGAGAAUGUUAUCACGGGAGACACACGGCGGGUGCUAACGUCCGUCGUGAAGAGGGAAACAACCCAGACCGCCAGCUAAGGUCCCAAAGUCAUGGUUAAGUGGGAAACGAUGUGGGAAGGCCCAGACAGCCAGGAUGUUGGCUUAGAAGCAGCCAUCAUUUAAAGAAAGCGUAAUAGCUCACUGGUCGAGUCGGCCUGCGCGGAAGAUGUAACGGGGCUAAACCAUGCACCGAAGCUGCGGCAGCGACGCUUAUGCGUUGUUGGGUAGGGGAGCGUUCUGUAAGCCUGCGAAGGUGUGCUGUGAGGCAUGCUGGAGGUAUCAGAAGUGCGAAUGCUGACAUAAGUAACGAUAAAGCGGGUGAAAAGCCCGCUCGCCGGAAGACCAAGGGUUCCUGUCCAACGUUAAUCGGGGCAGGGUGAGUCGACCCCUAAGGCGAGGCCGAAAGGCGUAGUCGAUGGGAAACAGGUUAAUAUUCCUGUACUUGGUGUUACUGCGAAGGGGGGACGGAGAAGGCUAUGUUGGCCGGGCGACGGUUGUCCCGGUUUAAGCGUGUAGGCUGGUUUUCCAGGCAAAUCCGGAAAAUCAAGGCUGAGGCGUGAUGACGAGGCACUACGGUGCUGAAGCAACAAAUGCCCUGCUUCCAGGAAAAGCCUCUAAGCAUCAGGUAACAUCAAAUCGUACCCCAAACCGACACAGGUGGUCAGGUAGAGAAUACCAAGGCGCUUGAGAGAACUCGGGUGAAGGAACUAGGCAAAAUGGUGCCGUAACUUCGGGAGAAGGCACGCUGAUAUGUAGGUGAAGUCCCUUGCGGAUGGAGCUGAAAUCAGUCGAAGAUACCAGCUGGCUGCAACUGUUUAUUAAAAACACAGCACUGUGCAAACACGAAAGUGGACGUAUACGGUGUGACGCCUGCCCGGUGCCGGAAGGUUAAUUGAUGGGGUCAGCGCAAGCGAAGCUCUUGAUCGAAGCCCCGGUAAACGGCGGCCGUAACUAUAACGGUCCUAAGGUAGCGAAAUUCCUUGUCGGGUAAGUUCCGACCUGCACGAAUGGCGUAAUGAUGGCCAGGCUGUCUCCACCCGAGACUCAGUGAAAUUGAACUCGCUGUGAAGAUGCAGUGUACCCGCGGCAAGACGGAAAGACCCCGUGAACCUUUACUAUAGCUUGACACUGAACAUUGAGCCUUGAUGUGUAGGAUAGGUGGGAGGCUUUGAAGUGUGGACGCCAGUCUGCAUGGAGCCGGCCUUGAAAUACCACCCUUUAAUGUUUGAUGUUCUAACGUGGACCCGUGAUCCGGGUUGCGGACAGUGUCUGGUGGGUAGUUUGACUGGGGCGGUCUCCUCCUAAAGAGUAACGGAGGAGCACGAAGGUUGGCUAAUCCUGGUCGGACAUCAGGAGGUUAGUGCAAUGGCAUAAGCCAGCUUGACUGCGAGCGUGACGGCGCGAGCAGGUGCGAAAGCAGGUCAUAGUGAUCCGGUGGUUCUGAAUGGAAGGGCCAUCGCUCAACGGAUAAAAGGUACUCCGGGGAUAACAGGCUGAUACCGCCCAAGAGUUCAUAUCGACGGCGGUGUUUGGCACCUCGAUGUCGGCUCAUCACAUCCUGGGGCUGAAGUAGGUCCCAAGGGUAUGGCUGUUCGCCAUUUAAAGUGGUACGCGAGCUGGGUUUAGAACGUCGUGAGACAGUUCGGUCCCUAUCUGCCGUGGGCGCUGGAGAACUGAGGGGGGCUGCUCCUAGUACGAGAGGACCGGAGUGGACGCAUCACUGGUGUUCGGGUUGUCAUGCCAAUGGCACUGCCCGGUAGCUAAAUGCGGAAGAGAUAAGUGCUGAAAGCAUCUAAGCACGAAACUUGCCCCGAGAUGAGUUCUCCCUGACCCUUUAAGGGUCCUGAAGGAACGUUGAAGACGACGACGUUGAUAGGCCGGGUGUGUAAGCGCAGCGAUGCGUUGAGCUAACCGGUACUAAUGAACCGUGAGGCUUAACCUUACAACGCCGAAGGUGUUU